ACAAGCAGGAGAGACGGCGAAGAGGGCAAGUGGCUGAGAGGCUAUGGGGCUGGGCAGGGGGCAAUGGGGAGUCACAUGAGGUGCCUCUGGGGUGCCCCUCCAGGCAGUGGGGCCCCCAGACAACUGUCUCCCCUUGCCCUAUCAUUGUUACGCGCCUGGCUGAAAGGCAUCAUCUCAUACUGCGCUGGAGAUGGCAAUGAAGCAGCUAUGAAAGGUUACAUAUUUUGCUGGAAACCGCAAAGUAACAGAACUCUAAACUCAAUGGUGAAGAAAGAUAAAAGAGAAGCAUAGCUCAGACAGCCUUCAGUUUCUGGUACCUUAUUGAUGACGGAUGUAUUGUGAAAAAUGACCACGUACUGCACCUGGAGGACAAUCUGCCUGUAUGCAAGAAAGCAUUGGAGGGAAGAGAUCUGAGGGACUGAUGGUGGCAAAUCUCACUAGAUUUAUAGUGAGCUGCAGGACUUCCUAGUUUCACUUACUGACAUUGUAUCAAUAAAGACUUGAGCCCUAUUCAGGCAUUUUGUU